GAGCACUACUGGCAAGAGCUGAAGGGCAAAAUGCCGCAAGCCCAGGAAAUGGUCAGAAAAAAAGGAAGUUUAGCCCAGAGAAGACUUGCAAAAUUCUUUUAAAAUGAUCUUUGCCUGAAAUAUGUGUGAGGAUAGAUCCUUCUGAAAUGUUGGUACUUAGCUCUCCCCAUUCUGUCAAAUGCAAAACCAAACCGAACAAAAGAAGGAAAACAAAUACAAAAUGGGAAGCUACAUUUGGAAAUUGGAUUUCCUUUUGACUGAGCUGGGGUGGGUGUGGCCUGCACGUGACGCAGCCGACCCAUGGGCUGCCAGUUUGACACCCCUGGAUUAAGUCAUUUUAGGAUUUAAACCUGAUGACUUCAGUGGAAAUGACUUAAAGGUUUAUUUUCAUCACUGCAAGAUAAUUCUAUUGAGAGGAACUGGAAUGGAUUUCUGUGGCUUCCUAUAGCAAUCUCUUAGUUUUAUUGAAAAAGUAUUUGUUAGGAUAUUUGGUUGUUCAGCUUUUAAAAAGCAAUAUUGAUAUACAUUCCAUUAUGCAUAUGUGCAGAUUCCUUAGCAUUAUUUUUGUUAAAAGUCCACAUUUUCCUGAAAUUUGGAUUAUAUGCUUUUUCUUAGAAUAAGAAAUUAAUUUUAUCAGAUGAAAUUUAUUUGUUUCACUUGAUGAAUCUGUAGCUUUGGUGAAUAUCUGAAAAAAUACAUUGUGAAAUGCUGUUAAUUUAUACA